UGGGGAAUAUUGGACAAUGGGCGCAAGCCUGAUCCAGCAAUGCCGCGUGUGUGAAGAAGGCCUUCGGGUUGUAAAGCACUUUUAUCAGGAGCGAAACGCUGUCGGCUAAUACCCGGCGGAACUGACGGUACCUGAGGAAUAAGCACCGGCUAACUUCGUGCCAGCAGCCGCGGUAAUACGAAGGGUGCAAGCGUUAAUCGGAAUUACUGGGCGUAAAGCGUGCGUAGGCGGUUUCUUAAGUCUGCUGUGAAAUCCUCGGGCUCAACCUGGGAAUGGCAGUGGAUACUGGGAGGCUAGAGUGUGUCAGAGGGUGGUGGAAUUCCCGGUGUAGCGGUGAAAUGCGUAGAGAUCGGGAGGAACAUCAGUGGCGAAGGCGGCCACCUGGGACAACACUGACGCUGAGGCACGAAAGCGUGGGGAGCAAACAGGAUUAGAUACCCUGGUAGUCCACGCCCUAAACGAUGCGAACUGGAUGUUGGUCUCAACUCGGAGAUCAGUGUCGAAGCUAACGCGUUAAGUUCGCCGCCUGGGGAGUACGGUCGCAAGACUGAAACUCAAAGGAAUUGACGGGGUCAUAGCUGUUUCCUG
rnacentral:rRNA from 1 species